rnacentral:rRNA from 1 species
UACGGAGGGUGCAAGCGUUACCCGGAUUCACUGGGUUUAAAGGGUGCGUAGGUGGGUUGGUAAGUCAGUGGUGAAAUCUCCGAGCUUAACUUGGAAACUGCCAUUGAUACUAUCAGUCUUGAAUAUUGUGGAGGUCAGCGGAAUAUGUCAUGUAGCGGUGAAAUGCUUAGAUAUGACAUAGAACACCAAUUGCGAAGGCAGCUGGCUACACAUAUAUUGACACUGAGGCACGAAAGCGUGGGGAUCAAACAGG